CCCUGAGGGACAAGUGUCCACUUUUGAAAAUGACCAGCCACUCCACAGCCCUUGUGACAUAUCCAGUCAGUGACUGUGUGUUCAGCAACGGAGCUGAUGGCAGGAAGACAUCUCUGGGAGAAGGAGAACAGGACCAGCCAAACUUGCCUUUAGAAAUAAAAUUCACCUCGAUCCAAAAAUCUCAUAGUGCAUUUUUAUUAUGUCCACCACAGUGAAUGGGGCAUCGCGGGGGACACAGAGAAGGAAGACAUGGCACCGGGCCUCAAGGAACUUGGAAUCUGAUGUGUUCUUUGCUCGAAAAGGGAAGAGAGGCAGGAAGAAAGAAGGCACAUCUGUUGUCAAGCCUUCACCCUACCUUACUUGCAAAAUUACAAUGUACAAACUUAACAUGAGUAAUUUUCAGAAAAAGCUUCCUUGGUGGCAAGUCAACUGCCAUGCUAUGAGCUGUGCUGUGGAGAGGCCCACAUGGCAAGGAAAUGAAGGAGGCCAGUAGCCAGUGUGCAGCUGAGUCUUGCAACCAUGUAAGUGAGUUUGAAAACAGAUCUUCCCCAGUUGAGUCUUCAGAUGAGACUGCAGCCCUUGCUGACACCUUGCAUAUAGCCUUGGCAGAGGCUUGAAGCAGAGACACUCAGCUAAGCCACAACCUGGAUUCCUGACUGUCAGAGAUAAUGUUUCCUCUUUUAAGCUUCUAACUUUUGAUGUAAUUUGUUAUGUAGCAAAAGAUAACAAAUAUGGGCAAUUACCUAAAAUAAAGUAGACGACUAGCUAAAGGGGAAUGUUGGCGAUUAUGUGCCUCAAAAUGAGAACUAUGAUUAAUGUAGUUUACUUAUGGGCCAAGUAAAUAACAACGAAAACAAACAGAAAACCUGGCUACAUUUCCAUUAAGGCCUUGGAAUCAUCAAUCCGCAUAAUCAAAAUGGAAAAAGCUGUGUCAUGAGAAAUGGCCGCUACUGUAGAAUCAUUUACUGAAAACUUGUUUAAGCUUAUUCAUCCUUGUUUUCCUGUACGUGGUUCUAGAAAGCAAACACUUGAAUUUCCAGUCUGCCUUGCAGCUAACUGGGAUCAUGGACACAGUUCUGGAUUAGAAAAUAAAGGCAGAAGUUCCCAAGGAGAGUUUCGUUUUCAUGUUAAAAAACGAAUUCUCCAGAAAAGGCACUGACCUUCACCCCCUGCACAUUCUUUCUGCUUGCAGCGUGAAGGUGAUAUUUAGAAGUGCAGGGCAUGACCUCAGAGGGGAAACCUGUCUGCUAAGAACGACACCACUGGAAGCGGGGAGCAUCCUGGACUCUGUACUGUACACUGUACAGUACUCUGUACUGAUGGCACUGUACACUGAAGAACCAGGCUACACUCUUGUUAGUGUUAGGGGUGUCUGGUAUUCAUAACUGUGUGUUUCUGAACUAAAACCAGUAGAAUAAUUUUGAUUUUUCUAUCCAAAGUUCCUGGGAGAGCAUACACUCCAUUGGAUCACCUCGGUUAAUAAUGAGUAAAAUGGGCUGGGUGCGGUGGCUCAUGCCUGUAAUCCCAGCACUCUGGGAGGCUGAGGCGGGCAGAUCACUUGAGGUCAGGAGUUUGAGACCAGCCUGACCAACGUGGAGAAACCCCAUCUCUACUAAAAAUACAAAAUUAGCUGGGCGUGGUGGUGCAUGCCUGUAAUCCCAGCUACACGGAUGGCUGAGGCAGAAGAAUCACUUGAACAUGGGAGACAGCGGUUGCAGUGAGCUGAUAUCGCACCAUUGCACUCCAGCCUGGGCAACAAGAGUGAAACUAUAUUUCUAAAAAAAAAAAAAAAAUGAGUAAAAUAAAGAGAAUUUCAUAAAGGUCCAUUUCAGAUACUAUUUUUGCUUUAGCAGAAAUUUAAUGGAAAAAAGUGAUGAC
rnacentral:lncRNA from 1 species